AGAGUUUGAUCCUGGCUCAGGGCGAACGCUGGCGGCACGCUUAACACAUGCAAGUCGGACGAGAGAAGAGGAGCUUGCUUUUCUGAUCUAGUGGCGGACGGGUGAGUAACACGUGAGCAAUCUGCCUUUCAGAGGGGGAUACCGAUUGGAAACGAUCGUUAAUACCGCAUAACAUAAUUGAACCGCAUGAUUUGAUUAUCAAAGAUUUAUCGCUGAAAGAUGAGCUCGCGUCUGAUUAGCUAGUUGGUAAGGUAACGGCUUACCAAGGCGACGAUCAGUAGCCGGACUGAGAGGUUGAUCGGCCACAUUGGGACUGAGACACGGCCCAGACUCCUACGGGAGGCAGCAGUGGGGAAUAUUGCACAAUGGAGGAAACUCUGAUGUAGCGAUGCCGCGUGAGGGAAGAAGGUUUUAGGAUUGUAAACCUCUGUCUUCAGGGACGAAAAAAGACGGUACCUGAGGAGGAAGCUCCGGCUAACUACGUGCCAGCAGCCGCGGUAAUACGUAGGGAGCGAGCGUUGUCCGGAAUUACUGGGUGUAAAGGGAGCGUAGGCGGGAUCGCAAGUCAGAUGUGAAAACUAUGGGCUUAACCCAUAAACUGCAUUUGAAACUGUGGUUCUUGAGUGAAGUAGAGGUAAGCGGAAUUCCUAGUGUAGCGGUGAAAUGCGUAGAUAUUAGGAGGAACAUCAGUGGCGAAGGCGGCUUACUGGGCUUUAACUGACGCUGAGGCUCGAAAGCGUGGGGAGCAAACAGGAUUAGAUACCCUGGUAGUCCACGCCGUAAACGAUGAUUACUAGGUGUGGGGGGACUGACCCCUUCCGUGCCGCAGCAAACGCAAUAAGUAAUCCACCUGGGGAGUACGACCGCAAGGUUGAAACUCAAAGGAAUUGACGGGGGCCCGCACAAGCAGUGGAGUAUGUGGAUUAAUUCGAAGCAACGCGAAGAACCUUACCAGGUCUUGACAUCGUAUGCAUAGCUCAGAGAUGAGUGAAAUCUCUUCGGAGACAUAUAGACAGGUGGUGCAUGGUUGUCGUCAGCUCGUGUCGUGAGAUGUUGGGUUAAGUCCCGCAACGAGCGCAACCCUUACUGUUAGUUGCUACGCAAGAGCACUCUAGCAGGACUGCCGUUGACAAAACGGAGGAAGGUGGGGAUGACGUCAAAUCAUCAUGCCCCUUAUGACCUGGGCCUCACACGUACUACAGUGGCUGUCAACAGAGGGAAGCAAAGCCGCGAGGUGGAGCGAACCCCUAAAAGCAGUCUUAGUUCGGAUUGUAGGCUGCAACCCGCCUACAUGAAGUCGGAAUUGCUAGUAAUCGCAGAUCAGCAUGCUGCGGUGAAUACGUUCCCGGGCCUUGUACACACCGCCCGUCACGCCAUGGGAGUCGGUAACACCCGAAGCCUGUAGUCUAACCGCAAGGAGGACGCAGUCGAAGGUGGGAUUGAUGACUGGGGUGAAGUCGUAACAAGGUA
rnacentral:rRNA from 1 species